rnacentral:tRNA from 1 species
GGGUGAUUAGCUCAGUUGGUUAGAGCGCUUCGUUUACACCGAAGAGGUCUGAGGUUCGAAUCCUCAAUCACCCA